AUCAGUUUGAUACUAUCCUUGACAUGGAAAAAGAUGAGUUGGCUCCUGAGAUAGAAGAGGAAGAAGAAGGCGAGAUAGAGUAUGUUGAAGGUGAUGAUAUCGAGAUGGGUGACAUGGAUGAUAUGGAAGAUUUGAAGGCUUUGGUGAUGAAGAUGGUGGAAGAAGACGAGGACA